rnacentral:rRNA from 1 species
GACGAACGCUGGCGGCGUGCUUAACACAUGCAAGUCGAACGGAAAGGCCUCAGCUUGCUGGGGUACUCGAGUGGCGAACGGGUGAGUAACACGUGGGUGAUCUGCCUUGCACUCUGGGAUAAGCUUGGGAAACUGGGUCUAAUACCGGAUAUGAACUGCCUUUAGUGUGGUGGUUGGAAAGUUUUUUCGGUGCAAGAUGGGCUCGCGGCCUAUCAGCUUGUUGGUGGGGUAAUGGCCUACCGAGGCGUCGACGGGUAGCCGGCCUGAGAGGGUGUACGGCCACAUUGGGACUGAGAUACGGCCCAGACUCCUACGGGAGGCAGCAGGGGGGAAUAUUGCACAAUGGGCGGAAGCCUGAUGCAGCGACGCCGCGUGGGGGAUGACGGCCUUCGGGUUGUAAACUCCUUUCGACAGGGACGAAGCUUUUUGUGACGGUACCUGUAUAAGAAGCACCGGCUAACUACGUG